AGCCGCACACGGGUGGGCUGCUCCGAAAGGAAGCCCGACGCAACUGUUAUGCGUGGUUAGCCCUACGUGCGGCUUU
rnacentral:ncRNA from 1 species